rnacentral:rRNA from 1 species
GUUGUUGGGUAGGGGAGCGUUCUGUAAGCCUGUGAAGGUGGCCUGUGAGGGUUGCUGGAGGUAUCAGAAGUGCGAAUGCUGACAUAAGUAACGAUAAAGCGGGUGAAAAGCCCGCUCGCCGGAAGACCAAGGGUUCCUGUCCAACGUUAAUCGGGGCAGGGUGAGUCGACCCCUAAGGCGAGGCCGAAAGGCGUAGUCGAUGGGAAACAGGUUAAUAUUCCUGUACUUGGUGUUACUGCGAAGGGGGGACGGAGAAGGCUAUGUUGGCCGGGCGACGGUUGUCCCGGUUUAAGCGUGUAGGCUGGUUUUCCAGGCAAAUCCGGAAAACCAAGGCUGAGGCGUGAUGACGAGGCACUACGGUGCUGAAGCGACAAAUGCCCUGCUUCCAGGAAAAGCCUCUAAGCAUCAGGUAACAUCAAAUCGUACCCCAAACCGACACAGGUGGUCAGGUAGAGAAUACCAAGGCGCUUGAGAGAACUCGGGUGAAGGAACUAGGCAAAAUGGUGCCGUAACUUCGGGAGAAGGCACGCUGAUAUGUAGGUGAAGCGACUUGCUCGUGGAGCUGAAAUCAGUCGAAGAUACCAGCUGGCUGCAACUGUUUAUUAAAAACACAGCACUGUGCAAACACGAAAGUGGACGUAUACGGUGUGACGCCUGCCCGGUGCCGGAAGGUUAAUUGAUGGGGUUAGCGGCAACGCGAAGCUCUUGAUCGAAGCCCCGGUAAACGGCGGCCGUAACUAUAACGGUCCUAAGGUAGCGAAAUUCCUUGUCGGGUAAGUUCCGACCUGCACGAAUGGCGUAAUGAUGGCCAGGCUGUCUCCACCCGAGACUCAGUGAAAUUGAACUCGCUGUGAAGAUGCAGUGUACCCGCGGCAAGACGGAAAGACCCCGUGAACCUUUACUAUAGCUUGACACUGAACAUUGAGCCUUGAUGUGUAGGAUAGGUGGGAGGCUUUGAAGUGUGGACGCCAGUCUGCAUGGAGCCGACCUUGAAAUACCACCCUUUAAUGUUUGAUGUUCUAACGUUGGCCCGUAAUCCGGGUUGCGGACAGUGUCUGGUGGGUAGUUUGACUGGGGCGGUCUCCUCCUAAAGAGUAACGGAGGAGCACGAAGGUUGGCUAAUCCUGGUCGGACAUCAGGAGGUUAGUGCAAUGGCAUAAGCCAGCUUGACUGCGAGCGUGACGGCGCGAGCAGGUGCGAAAGCAGGUCAUAGUGAUCCGGUGGUUCUGAAUGGAAGGGCCAUCGCUCAACGGAUAAAAGGUACUCCGGGGAUAACAGGCUGAUACCGCCCAAGAGUUCAUAUCGACGGCGGUGUUUGGCACCUCGAUGUCGGCUCAUCACAUCCUGGGGCUGAAGUAGGUCCCAAGGGUAUGGCUGUUCGCCAUUUAAAGUGGUACGCGAGCUGGGUUUAGAACGUCGUGAGACAGUUCGGUCCCUAUCUGCCGUGGGCGCUGGAGAACUGAGGGGGGCUGCUCCUAGUACGAGAGGACCGGAGUGGACGCAUCACUGGUGUUCGGGUUGUCAUGCCAAUGGCACUGCCCGGUAGCUAAAUGCGGAAGAGAUAAGUGCUGAAAGCAUCUAAGCACGAAACUUGCCCCGAGAUGAGUUCUCCCUGAGACUUAGAGUCUCCUGAAGGAACGUUGAAGACGACGACGUUGAUAGGCCGGGUGUGUAAGCGCAGCGAUGCGUUGAGCUAACCGGUACUAAUGAACCGUGAGGCUUAACCUUACAACGCCGAAG